GCCAUCAAUAUUGGUUACUCCUGUAGGCUGGUGUCACAUGGCAUGUCCCUCAUCAUCGUCAAUGAAGAUUCCCUGGAUGUGAAGGUAAUUAAGGUGUCUG